rnacentral:rRNA from 1 species
GACGAACGCUGGCGGCGUGCUUAACACAUGCAAGUCGAACGGAAAGGCCCUGCUUUUGUGGGGUGCUCGAGUGGCGAACGGGUGAGUAACACGUGAGUAACCUGCCCUUGACUUUGGGAUAACUUCAGGAAACUGGGGCUAAUACCGGAUAGGAGCUCCUGCUGCAUGGUGGGGGUUGGAAAGUUUCGGCGGUUGGGGAUGGACUCGCGGCUUAUCAGCUUGUUGGUGGGGUAGUGGCUUACCAAGGCUUUGACGGGUAGCCGGCCUGAGAGGGUGACCGGCCACAUUGGGACUGAGCUACGGCCCAGACUCCUACGGGAGGCAGCAGUGGGGAAUAUUGCACAAUGGGCGGAGGCCUGAUGCAGCAACGCCGCGUGCGGGAUGACGGCCUUCGGGUUGUAAACCGCUUUCGCCUGUGACGAAGCGUGAGUGACGGUAAUGGGUAAAGAAGCACCGGCUAACUACGUG